UACGACUACAUAUCAGGCAUAUCAAUAAGCGGAGGAAAAGAAACUAACAAGGAUUCCCUUAGUAACGGCGAGUGAAGCGGGAAGAGCUCAAAUUUGAAAUCUUCAAGGUUUUACCUUGACGAAUUGUAGUUUAAAGAAGUGUUUUCUGUUGAAGUUUUGGUAAAAGUUCUUUGGAAUAGGACAUCAUAGAGGGUGAGAAUCCCGUAUUUGACCAUUAUUUUCAGCUGUGUGAUACACUUUCAAAGAGUCGGAUUGUUUGGGAAUGCAGUCCAAAAUGGGUGGUAAAUUUCAUCUAAAGCUAAAUAUUGGCGAGAGACCGAUAGCGAACAAGUACCGUGAGGGAAAGAUGAAAAGAACUUUGAAAAGAGAGUUAAACAGUACGUGAAAUUGUCAAAAGGGAAGCGUUUGACACCAGUGUUGUUUUUCCGAAAAUCAAUUAAAAAUUGAUUCAUGCCAGGUUGUAUUGACCUUAUCAGCUUGCAAUUUGGUUUUGGGUCUCUCUUUGAUGCACUUUUCGGUUAACAAGUCAACAUCAAUUUCCUUUGCUGUAAAAAGGUAGGAGGAAGGUGGCUUCAAUUUCGGUUGAAGUGUUUAUAGCCUUUUAUCUCUGCAGUCGGGGAGAUUGAGGUCUGCAGCGUAGAUCCUUCGGGGCUAGAUACAUUUAUGCUAAGUUAUAGCUUUUCAUAGACAACUUGUUGACUAUGUUUAGUCAUGUAGCUUACUCGUAAGUGCUAUUUUACCUACGCUUAGGAUGUUGAGCGCAUGUCUCUCUCU
rnacentral:rRNA from 1 species